rnacentral:rRNA from 1 species
AGCGAACGCUGGCGGCAGGCCUAACACAUGCAAGUCGAACGGAUCCUUCGGGAUUAGUGGCGGACGGGUGAGUAACACGUGGGAACGUGCCCUUUGGUUCGGAACAACUCAGGGAAACUUGAGCUAAUACCGGAUGUGCCCUUCGGGGGAAAGAUUUAUCGCCAUUGGAGCGGCCCGCGUCUGAUUAGCUAGUUGGUGAGGUAAAGGCUCACCAAGGCGACGAUCAGUAGCUGGUCUGAGAGGAUGAUCAGCCACAUUGGGACUGAGACACGGCCCAAACUCCUACGGGAGGCAGCAGUGGGGAAUCUUGCGCAAUGGGCGAAAGCCUGACGCAGCCAUGCCGCGUGAAUGAUGAAGGUCUUAGGAUUGUAAAAUUCUUUCACCGGGGACGAUAAUGACGGUACCCGGAGAAGAAGCCCCGGCUAACUUCGUGCCAGCAGCCGCGGUAAUAC